rnacentral:lncRNA from 1 species
GCACCCCCAACUCUGAUUUAGACUUCCCUUGCAGGUCCCGACGGCGGCCGUGGUCGUCUCGACUCCAGCAACUCUGAUUUCGAUGGAAUUCUGCACCAACAGAAUUGACGCUAGAGGAAGGGGGCUAUCUUCACAGUACCCUUGUUCUUGAAGGAGUGCUCAACGAGAUUGCCUCCAGUCAUCUUCUUUGACAUCCUCCUCCCCUUUCCCUACU